GACGAACGCUGGCGGCGUGCCUAAUACAUGCAAGUCGAACGCACUCUCGUUUAGAUUGAAGGAGCUUGCUCCUGAUUGAUAAACAUUUGAGUGAGUGGCGGACGGGUGAGUAACACGUGGGUAACCUGCCCUAAAGUGGGGGAUAACAUUUGGAAACAGAUGCUAAUACCGCAUAAAACCUAACACCGCAUGGUGUAGGGUUGAAAGAUGGUUUCGGCUAUCACUUUAGGAUGGACCCGCGGUGCAUUAGUUAGUUGGUGAGGUAAAGGCUCACCAAGACCGUGAUGCAUAGCCGACCUGAGAGGGUAAUCGGCCACACUGGGACUGAGACACGGCCCAGACUCCUACGGGAGGCAGCAGUAGGGAAUCUUCCACAAUGGACGAAGUCUGAUGGAGCAACGCCGCGUGAGUGAAGAAGGUUUCGGAUCGUAAAACUCUAGUUGUUGGAGAAGAAUGUAUCUGAUAGUAACUGAUCAGGUAGUGACGGUAUCCAACCAG
rnacentral:rRNA from 1 species